rnacentral:rRNA from 1 species
GAUGAACGCUGGCGGCGUGCCUAAUACGUGCAAGUCGAGCGAACAGACGAGGAGCUUGCUCCUCUGACGUUAGCGGCGGACGGGUGAGUAACACGUGGAUAACCUACCUAUAAGACUGGGAUAACUUCGGGAAACCGGAGCUACUACCGGAUAAUAUAUUGAACCGCAUGGUUCAAUAGUGAAAGACGGUUUUGCUGUCACUUAUAGAUGGAUCCGCGCCGCAUUAGCUAGUUGGUAAGGUAACGGCUUACCAAGGCAACGAUGCGUAGCCGACCUGAGAGGGUGAUCGGCCACACUGGAACUGAGACACGGUCCAGACUCCUACGGGAGGCAGCAGUAGGGAAUCUUCCGCAAUGGGCGAAAGCCUGACGGAGCAACGCCGCGUGAGUGAAGAAGGUCUUCGGAUCGUAAAACUCUGUUAUUAGGGAAGAACAAAUGUGUAAGUAACUAUGCACGUCUUGACGGUACCUAAUCAGAAAGCCACGGCUAACUACGUG